rnacentral:rRNA from 1 species
UAAGCCUGUGAAGGUGUGUCGUGAGGCAUGCUGGAGGUAUCAGAAGUGCGAAUGCUGACAUAAGUAACGAUAAAGCGGGUGAAAAGCCCGCUCGCCGGAAGACCAAGGGUUCCUGUCCAACGUUAAUCGGGGCAGGGUGAGUCGACCCCUAAGGCGAGGCCGAAAGGCGUAGUCGAUGGGAAACGGGUUAAUAUUCCCGUACUUGGUGUUACUGCGAAGGGGGGACGGAGAAGGCUAUGUUGGCCGGGCGACGGUUGUCCCGGUUUAAGCGUGUAGGUGUGUGUUCCAGGUAAAUC